UACGUAGGGUCCAAGCGUUAUCCGGAAUCACUGGGCGUAAAGCGUGCGUAGGUGGGAAUUUAAGUGUGAUGUUAAAUCGUGUGGCUCAACCAUAUCGAUGCAUCGCAUACUGGGUUCCUAGAGGACGGCAGAGGCAAGUGGAAUUAGCAGUGUAGCAGUGAAAUGCGUAGAUAUUGCUAGGAACACCAAUGGUGAAGGCAGCUUGCUGGGCCACUCCUGACACUGAGGUACGAAAGCGUGGGGAGCGAACAGG
rnacentral:rRNA from 1 species